CCUACGGGAGGCAGCAGUGAGGAAUAUUGGUCAAUGGCCGGAAGGCUGAACCAGCCAAGCCGCGUGAAGGACGAAGGUGCCACGCAUUGUAAACUUCUCUUGUCAAGGGACAAAAUCAGGCUCGAGAGCCUGACCGCGGGUACUUGAAGAACAAGCAUCGGCUAACUCCGUGCCAGCAGCCGCGGUAAUACGGAGGAUGCGAGCGUUAUCCGGAUUUAUGUGGUUUAAAGGGUGCGUAGGCGGACUGUUAAGUCAGCGGUAAAAGCCCGGGGCGAAACCCCGGCGAGCCGUUGAAACUGGCGGUCUUGAGAGGGCGAGAGGUAGGCGGAAGGCGCAGUGUAGCGGUGAAAUGCUUAGAUAUUGCGCAGAACUCCGAUUGCGAAGGCAGCAUACCGGCGGCGAUCUGACGCUGAGGCACGAAAGCGUGGGUAUCGAACAGGAUUAGAUACCCUAGUAGUC
rnacentral:rRNA from 1 species